CAGACAUGUCUGAAUUACACGCUUUUGUUUGAAAUAACCUACCUCUUAAAUGCUUAAAUGCAUUUAAGAACAUGUUUUGGUUCAUCUGAAAAGUCCAAUUUUCUAGUAGCAAUAACUAAGGAAACUGAUACAUCGGUUUACCGUAGUAGAAGUGCAUUAACUAUUGUUUUCCAGCUUAUUUUGGAGGUUGAUGUGUAGCCUAACUUGGUGCAGAUCCCAAUGGAUGUCAUUGUGCCUAUGGGGGUGUGGGUGGGUGGAGGCAUCAGGUGGUUGUCCUGUGUGUUUAGCCAGGAAUGGUUUUAAGUCUUACUCAUUAUUGCACUGAGUCACUCUUCAAUGGUCUGUCACUGAAAACUUGGCCAGUCACCCUCUGGGACAGUGAAAUACUAGCAUGUGACCCAACUUCCAUGCUAUGGUUCUUAUACAUCAAUCUGUACAUGUUAUGUGGAGACAAACAGAAAACUAUUGGUGCUGCUUUUUUGACAAUCUUGUAUAUAAGACAUUGCAAUAUAGACUUUGGUGUUCCUUAUGGAACUGCACCAUUUUCAGUGACUUCAGUAAUUUUCUCAUGCAGGUUCCUGUGUCAUCUUUGCACUACAUACAGCUGUUUUAUCACAUUAAAGCGUUUCUCCAAAAUCAACCACAAAGCAAUCUUGGGAACUGCAGUUUCGUCUGCAUAUAAUUUGAGAUGGAGAGUAAUAUGGAGACCCACCAUUUGUGUGGCUUUGUGGACAUUGUCAACUUAAGAAAAGGACUUCAGAUAAUUUGGCACUCUUUGAUCUGACCAGAGCAGUGCCCUGUAGAAGUUCCUUCAGGUGAGGAAAAGGGUCUUGCCUAAACUGAGUUGCAUGGGAACCAGGAAUGGACAACUCUCAGGAUUUGUAUUGAUACACAGUACUGUAUUUAAAAUGUCUUGUUUUGUGUAAUAUACUGUACUAGACGUUUGCUGUACUUGCACAGUUUUUUUUAAUUACUUUAUUUCUUUUAUAACUUAAAAUAGAAGUGAUUUCUUUUGUAAUAGUCAGUCUUGUUUCUAUUUACUACAUUUAGUUGGAUUCUGUUCUGUAUUCCACUCAACAAGAAUAUACCUGCACAUCAUUUGAUUUUCUUUUGGUUCAGUUUUGCUUACCAUAACUUCUCAAUAAGCAUUAUAGAUCUGUAACUCCAAUGUUACAUGCAUAUCUCAGACUUGAAAUACACCAAGCUUACAAUGAAUAAGCCAAACAAUGUGCUUUCUGUGUAAGUGAUAGUUGGCUUUGCGGCAAUAUAAAUUCAUCAAGAUAAUGGAUGACUAGCAGUGGAAUCUUCCUGUAUUUUUAUUUUUGUUUGCUGGUUUGUCAAUGUAGGGUUUGGGCAAUAGCUGUGGUUGAGCUCAACUGUGAAAUUCACAUUGCACAUAAUUUGAGAAUAAAAUAA
ensembl:lncRNA